CAAAAAUAUAAGUUACAAAAUGAACUUAAGUGUAUGCAUAAAUACAACGAAAGAAAAUAAGUCAUGACAACUACUAGUACAAUUAUGUUAAAAUUAAGUAAAUAUAGCAUAACAUUUUAAGUAUUUGACUGUGAGCCAUGUGAUAUGCUGUUUCCUGCCAAGGAGCCAUUUUGUGAAGCACAUGUGAAGACGGUGAGAAGAGACCAGCCCUGUGGAACAACGUAAAGAAGUUGUAAUUCUAUGCUUAACUGUCUGCCUCUCUGAGAAUCUCAUCAAGCACCAUCAGAUACUCAUGGGAAUAAGGAGAAACUGGAACUGCUCACACUUAAAAUCAUCACGAAAGGUGGCUCAACAGAUGAUCCAUUACAGACUGGGAUAGUGCUGGAAGGCAUAGAGGUG